UCCGGAAAGUAAUAGUUGAAUGUAAAAUCGUCAUUCUAUUAAUUAAAUUAGUGUUUUACUUUAUUGUAAUUUGAUUUUUUUUUUUUUUCAGAAGUAGGAAUUUCUCUUUCUUUUUAAAGGUAGGAUAUUGGAUUGCAAUAUACCUAUUAUUGCUUUUAUUUUUACUCAUCCCAGAAGUUUUGUAACUGAUGUAUUGGGUCAGCGGGUAAAGAGUGGUGAUGAUACUGAAUUGCCCAAGAGCAUCAACUGGAGAAAGCGAGGGGUUGUCACAUCAGUCAAAAAUCAAGAUGUGUACCAUAAGAUUAUAAUUUUAUCGUAUUGCUGGGCCUUCGCAGCUGUAGGUGCAAUAGAAGGGAUGCACUAAAUCAGAACAGGGCAGCUGGUCGAUCUUUCGGUCCAGCAAGUAACUAACUGCUCCACCACAGCUGACAGGCGAGGAGCAUUCAGAUACGUACAGAGAAAUUGAGGCAUUGCAGCAGCGCCGUCGUAUCCUUGCGUAGAAAGACGUGGGCAAUAUGAUACAGGAAGAGCUACGAGGACCGUAGCAUCAAUUGAUCAAUUGACCGGUACUCGAGAAAGCGACAAAUGGACCUGUUUCUUGCAGCUUUGCUUGCUUGUACCUGAGAAUUUGAUGAAUAUAAUGGUGGUAUUCUUAAGACUUA